ensembl:lncRNA
GACCGGGCUUGCCAGGUCCCUGACACCUAACAGCUUCUCAAGAGAAAUAUUACAAUGAUAAAGUCCUGACACUCUUGAAAUAUUGAAUGAAGCUGUUGUUCUGUAGUGAAACUCUGCAGUGAGUGUGAAUAAACUCCUCCAGUAGCUCCUCCCUUCACAAGCAGACCUAUUUCAGUAAUUAAUUCAGUUUGAGUACAUUAAUAAUGACCAUGUCUUUCAGACUUAUAAUCAUUUUACAUUGUUUGUUUUCUUAAAAUGGAAUUAAUCUGUUAUUUCAGUCCUUGAAUUUACGAGUUUCUGAUUUUAUAUUGAUGACAUGUUAGUUAAGGAAUUUUGGGAGUGUGAUUUCUUCCAGAUUUUCAGCACGAUUAAAAAUGUGAUGUGAUUUUGAUUGCAUGACAGUUUGAUUAACAAAAAGUUAAUAACUUUUUACACUAAUUACACUUUAGACAUACAUUGUCUGUUUUUGCUCCUUUAACAAAAACAGUUCCAAACAAAGCCACAGCAGAACCACAGUAAAUACUAAUCUACAUAAAUAUGAAAAACUGUUUUCAUGAAACAGGAAGGUUUAAGGUCUCCCUGUGCUUUUCUGACAAGAAAAAAAAAAAUAGAAAGAAAAAAAGCAAAGAAGGAGAAGAUUAAGAAAUAAGAUUUUUUGCUUAAUUUUUGCUUUAAUAAUGGAAAAAAGUUUAAAUAUUGUUUUUAGAAAGAGUUCACGUUCUUCUUUCUGUAGGUCAAACAGUGUCAUUUUGAGAAGUCAUAUUCAGUCAGUGAAGGGAGGAGCUGCUGGAGGAGUUUAUUCACACUGACUGCAGAGUUUCACUAAACUACUUCACUACAGACCGACAGCUUCACUGGCUUUAUGAACAAUUGAAGGUUUACUAACACAGUUCUGUUGUGAAGCUGCCUUGCAAACUGCUGAAGAAAAUGAUGAUUUACAUUUAUUUGUUUUCAUGGAGUCUGGCUGGUAUGUUUGGUGUUGAUUCAGUGAAGUCAGUGUCAGUGACGGAGGGAGAAACAGUCAGUCUAAACUCUGAUCUUACUGAAAUACAGAGAGACGAUGAGAUAACGUGGAAAUUUAACAACAUUAUGAUAGCUAAAGUCAAUGUGAAGGACAGUAAGAGCAGGUUUUAUAAUGAUAAUGCUGAUGGGAGAUUCAGAGACAGACUGAAGCUGGAUCAGACUGGAUCUCUGAUCAUCACAAACACCAGAACCACAGACUCUGGAGAAUAUAAAGUCACCAGCAAAAGCUCAGGGAUCCCACUCAACAUCUUCAAUCUUACUGUCUAUGGUAGAGAAUUACUUACCCAGUUUUUUAUAAACAUAUUUUGACAAUCACUUUCAGAAUUGAUGAUAUAAUAAUUUUAUAUUAAGUCUGAGAUAAUAUUUAGUGUUUAUGAACACAUUCACUCAAACGAAUGACACUCUCCUUCACAUCUUCCAGAUGACUCUGUAUCUCUGAUAGUGUUGAUCUCUGCUGCUGCUGCUGGUUUUCUGUUGAUCGUAGCUGCAGUCGGGAUCUUCUGCAUCUGCAGGAAACACAGAAAAACACACCCAGAAGGCAAGUAUUGCCUACUUUUACCUGCAUGUGUAUAUAAUAAUAUAAAACAAUCUCUGAUAUCAGUUCAUUGAGAAUUUUGUUUCUAUUUUCUUACAGUUCAGACCCAUGACAGAGAGAUCACUUACGCUGAAUAUACUGCACUUUCUUCACAUAGCAAAUGUACAUUUAACAGUAAAACAGAUUUUGAGCUAUAGAAUGCAGUAAAUUAAAUCUUGAUGCAUGAUUGUAUUUGUCAGUUGUUGUUUGUUGAUGAAGAGUUGCCACAGAUACAAAAAUAAUUUCCAAAAGAACAAACUAAAUUAAACUCCUUAGUAACAAUAUAAUUUGUUUAGUUAAUUUUUCAUUUAUGUCAGAUACUGAUGUUAAUCUUUCAUCAUUAACAUUUUACUUUAAAAGGGGGGGUACAAUGGUGUUUCAUGUAUUCAGAGUUGUUCACAGUGUUAAAGAGAUGGAUUCUCAUGCUAAACAUGGCCAAAGUUUUACAAAAUAAUUUGGACGAAUGACGGAGAAUUUCUGUGCCGAAAAUCUUAUUUCCGGGUACAAGUUUGGGCUGUUUUUUUUUUUUUUGAAUGUGGAUUUAAUGACGUAGACAAUGGUGGAACUCCUUAUGAGCAUUUUUCUCAGAAAAGCGCGCCCACGCACACGUCGACCGAGAGACCGUUUGUAAAAUAAUUUUCUUCUGCUCACCAAGCCUGCAUUUAUUUAAUCCAAAGUACAGCAAAAGCAGUAAUAUUGUGAAAUAUUUUUACAGUCUUCAGUGUCAUAUGAUGC